rnacentral:rRNA from 1 species
GUCUAUGGCUGUGCCGCCCUGAACAUGCCUGAUCCCAUCUGAUCUUGGAAACUAAGCAGGGUCGGGCCUGGUUAGUACUUGGAUGGGAGACCACCUAGGAAGACCAGGAGCUAUAGGCA